rnacentral:rRNA from 1 species
UACAGAGGUCCCGAGCGUUGUUCGGAUUCACUGGGCGUAAAGGGUGCGUAGGUGGCUUGACAAGUUUGAUGUGAAAGCUCAGGGCUUAACCCUGAAAUGGCAUUGAAUACUGUCGGGCUGGAGGUUUGGAGGGGGGACUGGAAUUCUUGGUGUAGCAGUGAAAUGCGUAGAUAUCAAGAGGAACACCAGUGGCGAAGGCGAGUCCCUGGACAACACCUGACACUGAGGCACGAAAGCUAGGGGAGCAAACAGG